rnacentral:rRNA from 1 species
CCGGUAAACUGCGAAUGGCUCGGUAAAUCAGUUAUAGUUUAUUUGAUAGUGCAACCUACUCGGAUAACCGUAGUAACACUAGAGCUAAUACGUGCGUAAAUCCCGACUUUCGGAAGGGACGUAUUUAUUAGAUUUAUGGCUAACCGGGCUUGCCCGACCAGCGGUGAAUCAUGGUAACUUGGCGGAUUGCAUGGCCCUCGUGCCGGCGACGUGUCAUUCAAGUUUCUGCCCCAUCAGGUUUCGACUGUAGUGUAUUGGACUACAGUGCCUAUAACGGGUAGCGGAGGAUUAGGGUUCGAUUCCGGAGAGGGAGCCUGAGAAACGGCUACCACAUCCAAGGAAGGCAGCAGGCGCGCAAAUUACCCAAUCCCAACUCAGGGAGGUAGUGACAAGAAAUAACAAUGCGGAGCUUCGUGUUCUGCAAUUGAAAUGAGAACAAUUUAAACCACUUAACGAGUAUCAAUUGGAGGGCAAGUCUGGUGCCAGCAGCCGCGGUAAUUCCAGCUCCAAUAGCGUAUAUGUAAGUUGUUGCGAUUAAAAAGCCCGUAGCUGAACCUCGGGCAGCCCUGAUGGUCCGCCUAUGGUGAGUACUGUCCUGGGCUGUCUUUCUGCUACGUGCCGUAUCUCGGCGUUUACUCGCCGGGAACGGAGCUUAGCAAGGUUACUUUGAGUAAAAUAGAGUGUUCAAAGCAAGCAUGCGCUCUGAAUACACUAGCAUGGGAUAACACGACAUGACCGAUGGUCUAUCUUGUUGGCCUGUAGACCUGUUGGUAAUGGCUAAUAGGGACGGUCGGGGGCAUUCGUAUUUCGCUGUCAGAGGUGAAAUUCUUGGAUUUGCGAAAGACGAACUACUGCGAAAGCAUUUGCCAAGGACGCUUUCAUUAGUCAAGGACGAAAGUCGGGGGAUCGAAGACGAUUAGAUACCGUCGUAGUCUCGACCAUAAACGAUGCCAAUUAGGGAUUGGAGGGCGGAUUCAAUAUGCCUCCUCCAGCACCUUCCGCGAAAGCAAAAUUUAUGGGCUUCGGGGGGAGUAUGGUCGCAAGGCUGAAACUUAAAGGAAUUGACGGAACGGCACCACCAGGCGUGGAGCCUGCGGCUUAAUUUGACUCAACACGGGAAAACUUACCAGGUCCAGACAGAAGUAGGAUUUACAGAUUGAUAGCUCUUUAAAGAUUUUUUGGAUGGUGGUGCAUGGCCGUUCUUAGUUCGUGGAUUGAUUUGUCAGGUUGAUUCCGGUAACGGACGAGACCCCAACCUACUAACUAGCUCUGGCUAAUCUAUAGCCUGCCAGCUUCUUAGAGGGACUCUCGGAUUGAAACCGAAGGAGGUGGGGCAAUAACAGGUCUGUGAUGCCCUUAGAUGUCCUGGGCCGCACGCGCGCUACACUGAUGCAUUCAACGAGCCUACCCUGUGCCGAGAGGUAUGGGUAAUCUGCGAAACUGCAUCGUGAUGGGGCUAGAUUAUUGCAAUUAUUGAUCUUUAACGAGGAAUGCCUAGUAAGCGCGAGUCAUCAACUCGCGUUGAUUACGUCCCUGCCGUUUGUACACACCGCCCGUCGCUCCUACCGAUUGGGUGUGCUGGUGAAAUGUUCGGAUUAGACGGCCUUCCGUCAGGGGGCCGCUUGAGAAGUUCAUUGAACCCUCUCACCUAGAGGAAGGAGAAGUCGUAACAAGGUCU